GUCCUCCGCUUAGGUCAGCAGCUUCUCAGGCACCUGCUUCUCCAGGUGCCAGUGGAGGAUGCUCUGGAAGGAUCUGGAGAAAGUGUAGACAGCAGCCCCCGCACUGGUGUUCCAAGCAGCCCUUGGUAUGUGCUCAGGUGUUUCCUGUGGGGCCACAGACCUGGACUCCUGCUCUUAGCUCCGGGCAUUGGAAGAGCGUGAAGAUGAAUUUUGGGCUUGUUUUCAGAUGGUCCCGUUCUGAAGACAGAGCUUCAGAAGCCCUACAGCACAGCACCGCCUCUUCUCAUCAGCUACCUCCCGGCCUUUGCUCCUGCAGGAUGCGGACCUCCUGGAAGAGAUUUAGGGAGCGUCCGGACUCACAGCAACAGGCAAGUCGCUUCUUGGCAUGGUCACUUGGAGAGUUGGCCAUUGCAUUUUUUUAUGUUGAUGCUAACUUAUUUCCAUUUGAAGCUGAAUCCUUGCCUUAUUUCCAGAUUCGGGGGGUGCUUCCUGUUUGGGACUUGUAAAUUCCUAGGCAUUUACUCCAGUCAUUGCAGCUCUGUUGCUAGCACAGACUGUGGGGGCAGAUGGGCCUUUCUGUUCAAUCCCAACUCCACUACCUGGGAAGUCUGCCUACUCUAAAGGGUAGUUGUCACAAUAGGUAGAAUGGAGAUAAUUACCUGCUUAUAGAGUUGUGAGGAUUAAGUGAGAGAAUGUGCCUAAAGCACAGCACCUAACACAUGGUAAUGCUCCAUAUAUAUUAGCUGUUGUCAUUAUGGCACCAUCAAAAUAUGUAUUGUUUCAAGAAUAAAGCUCAAAUGGGUAUAAAUAUUAUGGUAUGUUAGUCAGAAGCAUUACAGUUAAACCAAAAUAAAGCACUUUGGUUUAAAUAUUCUGAUACUGGAAGACAUAUAAGGUUACCCCUUAUGUGUAGUCUACAGAAGAUCCAUGCCAGCCAUCUCAACAUUUGCUUAUUUUAGUCAAACUUCCUUCCUUUCUCUUUUUUUUUUUUAUUUCUACGGUUCAGCAGAGUGACCCAGUCAUACCAUCUCACCAUCUGGGUCCCAGACACCAAUCUUGAAGACACACACACACACACACGUCCACGCAGCUCUCUAGUUUAUACUGUGAUGAAACCUUCAUUAGAGGUUCUCAACGAGAGGCAAUACAGAAUCCCUGGGAAGGAACUAGAAAUGCAGUUCUAAAUAGCAGUUCUCAAAUAGAGAAUCCUGAUAAUUUGGUUGUCACAAUCACAAGGGACUAUUUGCACUGGGGGUGGGUGGGGGCGUGGAUGCUAAGUGUCUAGGCUCACAAAAAGAAUUACUUUGUUCAAAGUAUACCAAGAUUGUACUUGGUACCCCUUAAAGAAUCCUUUAAAAAAAAAAGUUUAUUGAAUUAUAGUUGAUUUACAAUGUUGCGAUAAUUUCUGCUGUACAACAAAGUGACUCAGUUAUACAUAUAGACACAUGCAUUCUUUCCCCAUAUAGACUGCCACAGGAUAUUGGGUAGAGUUCCCUGUGCUAUAGAGCAGGUCCCCACUGGCCAGUCAUUCCAUGGACCAGAGUGUGCACAUGCCCAUCCCCAACCCUCGGUCUAUCCUCCCGUACAUCUGUCCCCUUUGGUAACCGUAAGUUUUUGUUUUAAAAGUCUGUAAGUCUGUUUCUGUUCUCCAAAAAAAUUCAUUUUGUAUUUUUUUUUAGAUUCCACUUAUAAGUGAUACCAUAAGAUGUCUUUCUCUGACUUAUUUUACUUAAAAUGACAACCUCGAGGUCCAUCCCCGUUGCUGCAAAUGGCAUUAUUUCAUUCUUUCUUAUGGCUGAGUAAUAUUCCAUUGUGUAUAUGUACCACAUCUUCUUUAUCCAGUCCUCUGGCAGGAGGGUGGGGUGUUUCGUUUUUGCU